rnacentral:misc_RNA from 1 species
GCUACUAGAAGAACCUAGUCAGCUCCAGUCCCCUUCCAUUUUCCUCGCCUCACUACCAAAAGCUAGGGUUUACAGUUUCUACAAUUUCAAAAUUUUUUGAAUCUGUAGUAAUCGUAUUUGAAGGUAAUCGGAAAAAGCUAUGGACCCGAUGAAGUUGAAUCAACUGAAGCAAUUCGUUGAACAGUGCAAAUCCAAUCCUUCCAUUCUCUCCGAUCCUUCUCUUUCAUUUUUCCGUGACUACAUUGAGAAUCUCGGUGCUAAACUUCCUCCGGCUGCUUACGACACCGGCGAUUACAAAGAGAAGUCCCAUGCGGUGGAUGCGAGUGAUGAUGAGAUGGAUGAUGAUGAGAAUGAUGCUAAUAUCAAAGAGACAGUUGAAGAAGAGGAGGAGCCUGAGAUAAUUGAAUCUGAUAUUGAGCUUGAUGAGAGUGACACUGUGGAACCUGACAAUGAUGAGCCACAGAAGAUGGGAGACCCUUCUGUGGAGGUGACUGAAGAAAGCCGUGAUGCUUCUCAGGAGUCCAAAGCUGAGGCCAUGGAAGCAAUUUCUGAAGGUAAGUUAGAAGAUGCAAUUGAGCAUCUUACGAAGGCAGUUCUCCUCAAUCCUAAAUCAGCAAUUAUGUAUGCUACUAGAGCUAGUGUUUAUAUCAAGAUGAAGAAGCCAAACGCUGCCAUACGAGAUGCAACUGCAGCAUUGGAGUUGAAUCCAGAUUCUGCUAAAGGUUACAAAUCUCGUGGCAUUGCCAGAGCCAUGCUGGGACAGUGGGAGGCAGCUGCUAAGGAUCUUCAUGUGGCUUCGAAGCUGGACUAUGAUGAGGAAAUAAGUGCUGUGCUUAAGAAGGUUGAGCCCAAUGCACAUAGAAUUGAAGAACACCGCAGGAAAUAUGAUAGGUUGCGCAAAGAACGAGAAGAUAGAAAGAUUGAGCGUGAGAGA